GAUGAACGCUGGCGGCGUGCCUAAUACAUGCAAGUCGAGCGAACGGACGAGAAGCUUGCUUCUCUGAUGUUAGCGGCGGACGGGUGAGUAACACGUGGAUAACCUACCUAUAAGACUGGGAUAACUUCGGGAAACCGGAGCUAAUACCGGAUAAUAUUUUGAACCGCAUGGUUCAAAAGUGAAAGACGGUCUUGCUGUCACUUAUAGAUGGAUCCGCGCUGCAUUAGCUAGUUGGUAAGGUAACGGCUUACCAAGGCAACGAUGCAUAGCCGACCUGAGAGGGUGAUCGGCCACACUGGAGCUGAGACACGGUCCAGACUCCUACGGGAGGCAGCAGUAGGGAAUCUUCCGCAAUGGGCGAAAGCCUGACGGAGCAACGCCGCGUGAGUGAUGAAGGUCUUCGGAUCGUAAAACUCUGUUAUUAGGGAAGAACAUAUGUGUAAGUAACUGUGCACAUCUUGACGGUACCUAACCAGAAAGCCACGGCUAACUACGUG
rnacentral:rRNA from 1 species